UACGUAGGGUGCAAGCGUUAAUCGGAAUUACUGGGCGUAAAGCGUGCGCAGGCGGUUAUGUAAGACAGUUGUGAAAUCCCCGGGCUCAACCUGGGAAUUGCAUCUGUGACUGCAUAGCUAGAGUACGGUAGAGGGGGGAUGGAAUUCCGCGUGUAGCAGUGAAAUGCGUAGAUAUGCGGAGGAACACCGAUGGCGAAGGCAAUCCCC
rnacentral:rRNA from 1 species